rnacentral:rRNA from 1 species
AUUGAACGCUGGCGGCAUGCCUUACACAUGCAAGUCGAACGGCAGCGGACCUUCGGGUGCCGGCGAGUGGCGAACGGGUGAGUAAUAUAUCGGAACGUACCUUUCAGUGGGGGAGUAACGUAGCGAAAGUUACGCUAAUACCGCAUAUUCUGUGAGCAGGAAAGCAGGGAGUCGCAAGACCUUGCGCUGAUUGAGCGGCCGAUAUCAGAUUAGCUAGUUGGUGAGGUAAAGGCUCACCAAGGCGACGAUCUGUAGCGGGUCUGAGAGGAUGAUCCGCCACACUGGAACUGAGACACGGUCCAGACUCCUACGGGAGGCAGCAGUGGGGAAUUUUGGACAAUGGGCGCAAGCCUGAUCCAGCCAUGCCGCGUGAGUGAAGAAGGCCUCGG